rnacentral:lncRNA from 1 species
AGAUUUCAUGCACGGAAGACUUCUGCACAUUUGGUACUCUUGCACAAUUAAUUGAGGCAGCUCUGUUUUUUAUUCAAUAUAUCCUCAUUUUGCAUUACCAUUCCAAGUUCCAUGUCCAUUCUCUCAGUCGACCUUUUAUAUUUGCUAUGAAAAGCCUACCUAUUGUGUUCUCGUUAUGAACAUACAUGUAAUAUUUGCCACAGGACGUAAAACAAACAACAUUUAUUAAACAGACUCAUUAAUAAUUAAUAUCAUGAAAACCAUAUACGAAGGCAAGAUUUGCACAAUCCUAUAAAGUAAUAUUUCCAUGUAUCCGUUUCGAUAAUUAUUGAAACUAUAACGACCCUUUUCAGGGUUGCGUUCAAUAUCG